rnacentral:rRNA from 1 species
AACGCGACCCCAGGUCAGGCGGGGCUACCCGCUGAAUUUAAGCAUAUCAAUAAGCGGAGGAAAAGAAACUAACAAGGAUUCCCCUA